UACAGAGGUCUCAAGCGUUGUUCGGAAUUACUGGGCGUAAAGGGCUCGUAGGUGGCCAACUAAGUCAUACGUGAAAUCCCUCGGCUUAACCGGGGAACUGCGUCUGAUACUGGAUGGCUUGAGGUUGGGAGAGGGAUGCGGAAUUCCAGGUGUAGCGGUGAAAUGCGUAGAUAUCUGGAGGAACACCGGUGGCGAAGGCGGCAUCCUGGACCAAUUCUGACACUGAGGAGCGAAAGCCAGGGGAGCAAACGGG
rnacentral:rRNA from 1 species